rnacentral:rRNA from 1 species
GAUGAACGCUGGCGGCGUGCCUAAUACAUGCAAGUCGAGCGAACGGACGAGAAGCUUGCCUUUUUGAUGUUAGCGGCGGACGGGUGAGUAACACGUGGAUAACCUACCUAUAAGACUGGGAUAACUUCGGGAAACCGGAGCUAAUACCGGAUUAUCUUUUGAACCGCAUGGUUCAAAAGUGACAGACGGUCUUGCUGUCACUUUUAGAUGGAUCCGCGCUGUAUUAGCUAGUUGGUAAGGUAACGGCUUAUCAAGGCAACGAUGCAUAGCAGAGCUGAGAGGGUGAUCGGCCACACUGGAACUGAGACACGGUCCAGACUCCUACGGGAGGCAGCAGUAGGGAAUCUUCCGCAAUGGGCGAAAGCCUGACGGAGCAACGCCGCGUGAGUGAUGAAGGUCUUCGGAUCGUAAAACUCUGUUAUUAGGGAAGAACAUAGGUGUAAGUAACUGUGCACAUAUUGACGGUACCUGAUCAGAAAGCCACGGCUAACUACGUG